AGAGUUUGAUCCUGGCUCAGGACGAACGCUGGCGGCGUGCCUAAUACAUGCAAGUAGAACGCUGAAGAGAGGAGCUUGCUCUUCUUGGAUGAGUUGCGAACGGGUGAGUAACGCGUAGGUAACCUGCCUUGUAGCGGGGGAUAACUAUUGGAAACGAUAGCUAAUACCGCAUAACAAUGGAUGACCCAUGUCAUUUAUUUGAAAGGGGCAAAUGCUCCACUACAAGAUGGACCUGCGUUGUAUUAGCUAGUAGGUGAGGUAACGGCUCACCUAGGCGACGAUACAUAGCCGACCUGAGAGGGUGAUCGGCCACACUGGGACUGAGACACGGCCCAGACUCCUACGGGAGGCAGCAGUAGGGAAUUUUCGGCAAUGGGGGAAACCCUGACCGAGCAACGCCGCGUGAAGGAAGAAGUAAUUCGUUAUGUAAACUUCUGUCAUAGAGGAAGAACGGUGGAUAUAGGGAAUGAUAUCCAAGUGACGGUACUCUAUAAGAAAGCCACGGCUAACUACGUGCCAGCAGCCGCGGUAAUACGUAGGUGGCGAGCGUUGUCCGGAAUUAUUGGGCGUAAAGAGCAUGUAGGCGGUUUUUUAAGUCUGGAGUGAAAAUGCGGGGCUCAACCCCGUAUGGCUCUGGAUACUGGAAGACUUGAGUGCAGGAGAGGAAAGGGGAAUUCCCAGUGUAGCGGUGAAAUGCGUAGAUAUUGGGAGGAACACCAGUGGCGAAGGCGCCUUUCUGGACUGUGUCUGACGCUGAGAUGCGAAAGCCAGGGUAGCGAACGGGAUUAGAUACCCCGGUAGUCCUGGCCGUAAACGAUGGGUACUAGGUGUAGGAGGUAUCGACCCCUUCUGUGCCGGAGUUAACGCAAUAAGUACCCCGCCUGGGGAGUACGUCCGCAAGGAUGAAACUCAAAGGAAUUGACGGGGGCCCGCACAAGCGGUGGAGUAUGUGGUUUAAUUCGACGCAACGCGAAGAACCUUACCAGGUCUUGACAUUGAUGGACAGAACUAGAGAUAGUUCCUCUUCUUCGGAAGCCAGAAAACAGGUGGUGCACGGUUGUCGUCAGCUCGUGUCGUGAGAUGUUGGGUUAAGUCCCGCAACGAGCGCAA
rnacentral:rRNA from 1 species